CUAUGACUGGGGAUAGAUGAGACAUGAGAGAUUUGCACACUUCAUUUGGACUUAAUUUAAAUCUAGUUAGGAAGGGUGUUAAAAAAGAUCUAAGAAUAGAAUAAGGAAGAGCUAAGAUUUUGAAUUUAUAAAUUGAAGGAUAACUUUAAAACCCAAGAUGGCACUUGAUUAAUCUUUGCUGUGCAUUAAAACUACUCUCAGAGAUACAAAACCAACCAACCAAACCACUCACAGAGAUAACUAUUGGUUUAUUCUGUUUUCUUGAGUCCAUCUUAAAGGUUCUAUAUUUUUCUGGAAAAUUGUCUUUUUCAUUUAAGUUAUGAAAUUCACUGGCAUUGGAUUCAAAUCUAUUCUAUGUCAAGCAUGGAGCUCAAGCAGCCAUGAUCACGAGAUCGUGAGGCAGUAAUUCCAGUAAUGUGAUGAAGUAGCAAGAGAUAAGUAAGUCCAGCCUGCUAGCAGAGAUGAAUAAGGCUGAAGAAGCAAGUCCCUGGAGAGAAAGGAAGAGAUGAGAGAGACCCCCAAGUUGUGUGAUCACCUCCAGCACACUGGAGACUGAGCCGUUUCACAAGGAGAGACCUUGGGAGGAGAAGUCAUGAGGACAGUCAACCAGCUCUUUGAAGAAGUCCACAUGCUGAGAAACUGAGGCCUCCUGCCAACAGCCUUGUGAGUGAAUCAUCUUGGAGGUGGAUCCUCCAGCACCUGUAAAACCUUCAGAUGACCACAGAUCUGGCUGACAUUUUGACCUCAAUGUUAUGAAAAAUCUUGAGGCAGAAGCACCCAGCUAAGCCAAUCCUGUAUUCUUCACCUACAGAAACUAUGAGGUACUAACACAUGCUUAUUGUUUCAAACUGCCAAGUUUUAGAGUAAUUUCUUAUGCAACAAUAGAUAACUAAUAAAACAAUGUUAACAAUAACCUGAUGUACACCCAUGAAAUAUGAUAUCCAGACAAAAUUAGAAAGUGUUUAUGUAUGCACUGCAUUGUUAUGUUUCUUUAUAGAACAAAAAGAAUCCUAUGUUUUUCGGAUCCUUUUCUCAAGUCAGUGCCAGUGAUGCAGGGCCCAUGAGCCCGGAAAUUGGGGCUCAGCCUGGGAGGGUUCUUGGCUCCACCCGGGAAAGUAUUCAAGGGUGGACCAGUGGUGCCAGAUAGCAACUUUUAUUGAAGAGGCCGUGUAUGGCAGCAGCAGAGGCACUGGUCCUUGUGGAGCAGAGAUACUCCAUAGGCAGUGUGCCCAGAGUAGCAGCUCAGAGGCAGUUCUUCAGUCAUAUUUAUACCCACUUUUAAUUACAUGCAAAUUAAGAGGUGAGUUAUUCAGAAAUUUCUAGAAAAGGGGUGGUAACUUCCAGGUCAUUGACAUGGAAAGUGGGGGGUAACUUCUGCAUAUUGCCAUGGCAGUGGUAAACUGACAUGGCACUGGUGGGCAUGUCUUAUGGAAAGGUGCUUUUGCCUCUUCUUU
rnacentral:lncRNA from 1 species